GUAGCUGACAGUGUGUUGUGUAGCUGAGUGUUUUUUGUGUAGAUGGAUCGUGACAGUGUUGUGUAGCUGACGGUGUUUGUUGUGUAGAUGGAGAGUGACAGUGUUGUGUAGCUGACGGUGUGUGUUGUGCGGAUGAAGGGUGACCUAGCUGACAGUGUGUGUUGUGUAGCUGACGGUGUGUGUUGUGCGGAUGACGGGUGACGUAGCCGACAGUGUGUGUUGUGUAGCUGACGGUGU